rnacentral:rRNA from 1 species
UACGUAGGGGGCAAGCGUUGUUCGGAAUUACUGGGCGUAAAGGGCGCGUAGGCGGCUUAUCAAGUCAGGCGUGAAAUUCCCGGGCUCAACCUGGGGGCUGCGCUUGAUACUGAUGAGCUUGAAUGCGGGAGAGGAUAGUGGAAUUCCCAGUGUAGAGGUGAAAUUCGUAGAUAUUGGGAAGAACACCGGUGGCGAAGGCGGCUAUCUGGCCCGUAAUUGACGCUGAGGCGCGAAAGCGUGGGGAGCAAACAGG